GGAGUUUGGUCCGUGUCUCAGUACCAAUGUGGGGGACCUUCCUCUCAGAACCCCUACUGAUCGAUGGCUUGGUGGGCCGUUACCCCGCCAACAACCUAAUCAGACGCAUCCCCAUCCUAUACCGAUCAAUCUUUGCUUCACGUCAGAUGCCAUCUAUGAAGAACAUAGGGUAUUAAUCCGACUUUCGCCGGGCUAUCCCCUAGUAUAGGGAAGGUUGGAUACGCGUUACUCACCCGUGCGCCGGUCGCCAUCGGAGUCAGCAAGCUGACCCCAUGCUGCCCCUCGACUUGCAUGUGUUAAGCCUGUAGCUAGCGUUCAUC
rnacentral:rRNA from 1 species